rnacentral:misc_RNA from 1 species
UGUGUGACAAAUGCACACCUGCAAUAGCUAUAAUUCCAACACAAACUUGCAAUUAAUGAUUAAUAUCUAACAUCUGAAAUCAGGAACUUUAAGCAAGUAUGAAAAAUAUGCUUAAGCCUUAACCACAAAGUCAAGAUACAAAACGCAUUAUCUAAAUGGACAUGCUAAAGAAAGGACAAGUCGUUGCCACAAGAAUUGGUAUAAAAUCAUUUUUACAGAGUUCACAAAAUAAAAGGUUUCAAAUUCCCAAUAUCUUUUGUGACAAUAACAUCCAUUUCCUCCCAUUCAGACUUCUAUAAAAUCAUGCAAACACCAGUAUCAUGAACCUAUAUCAAUUGCUCAACAAAGAUUCGUACACAAGUAGAAGUAAAAGCAUUUACCAGUGUGCCUAAUGUACAAGGGCAACCAAUAUAAAAAAGAAUAAGCCAGAAGCUUCGAAAAGAAAAGGCAGAAAGCAAAUGGCGCCACU